GACAGAGGGUGCAAACGUUGUCCGGAAUUAUUGGGCGUAAAGGGCUCGUAGGCGGUCUGUUGCGUCGGGAGUGAAAACUUACAGCUUAACUGUGAGCGUGCUUCCGAUACGGGCAGACUUGAGGUAUUCAGGGGAGAACGGAAUUCCUGGUGUAGCGGUGAAAUGCGCAGAUAUCUGGAGGAACACCGGUGGCGAAGGCGACAUCCUGGACCGGUAUUGACGCUGAGGCGCGAAAGCCAGGGGAGCAAACGGG
rnacentral:rRNA from 1 species